AGGAAAAUAAUUUCUGAGCAGCUUCCUCCUGUUGGAGAGGGUGAUCAAACACCUGGAGAAAGUUCUUUAAGAAAGUGGAAUAUGUCAAGUCUUCGACGGGGCGUCGGCGGAGGUGGGCUUGCGCCCAUUGUAGUGCCUCGCCCUUCAGAGCACUAACAAUUCUUGCCUGGGGGGUCCAUUGGCUGGGACAUACUAUCAGGAUUGUACAAUGUCGACCCCCAAAGUAGCAGACCAAGGAAGCAAGGACACGAGGCAGGUAAAAGGAGAUGGUUGAGGAGGAGCAAAGAGUGGGAUCCUGGGUGUGAGGAGGAAUCC